UAUGAACGCUAGCUACAGGCUUAACACAUGCAAGUCGAGGGGCAGCAUGAAGUUUGCUUGCAAACUUUGAUGGCGACCGGCGGAUGGGUGAGUAACGCGUACCCAACCUGCCCCCUUCCCGGGCACAGCCCUUGGAAACGAGGAUUAACGCCCGAUGGCGUCUGGAUGCCGCAUGGCAUUCCGACCAAAUGCGAAGGAAGGGGAUGGGGGUGCGUCCCAUUAGCUAGUUGGCGGGGUAACGGCCCACCAAGGCAUCGAUGGGUAGGGGUUCUGAGAGGAAGGUCCCCCACACUGGAACUGAGACACGGUCCAGACUCCUACGGGAGGCAGCAGUGAGGAAUAUUGGUCAAUGGUCUGACGACUGAACCAGCCAUGCCGCGUGAAGGAGACGGCCCCUAUGGGUCUUAAACUUCUUUUGUAAGGGAGCAAUAAGUCCUACGUGUAGGAUGAUGAGAGUACCUUACGAAUAAGCAUCGGCUAACUCCGUG
rnacentral:rRNA from 1 species